GCGCAUCCCUACCAUCUCUCCUACCGCCGGUAUCAACUCUUCCCAUACUUUCCUUCAAACAGCUCAUUAAACCGGCUCUCCACCUCCUCCACCCGAUACUUCACAUUCUUCUCAGAAUUCCUUCCCUCAGCCGCAGCUCGAAGCCGGCCCAAAAAAUUCCGAUAAGCCGGAACCACAGCUCCUGACCCCGCAAGCCUCAGCUCAGUCUUCAGCUGCUCGUCCGCCACCACCCACCCCGACUGCACUCGCCAUAUCUCCUCCAAAUACCCAUUAAACAUCCGAAGCCUCUCCCUCAUCGUCUUCACACCCAUCGGCGGUGCCCCAGCAUCCGCCCGGAGCACCGCCACCACCUUUCCCCAUGUGCUUCGACA
rnacentral:misc_RNA from 1 species